UUUCGCAAUGCCCGAAAGGGUGACGAAGCGACGCCGCGUGAGCGAAGAAGGCCCUAGGGUUGUAAAGCUCUGUCAGGGGUUAUGAAAUGUAGACUAGCUAAUACCUGGUUUAUUUGACAAAGGCCCCAAAGGAAGCCACGGCUAACUCUGUGCCAGCAGCCGCGGUAAUACAGAGGUGGCAAGCGUUGUUCGGUAUUAUUGGGCGUAAAGAGCACGUAGGUGGUUUUGUAAGUCAGAUGUGAAAGCCUUCUGUUCAAAGGAAGAACGGCAUCUGAAACUGCAGAUCUUGAGUAUAGGAGGGGAGAGUGGAACUUCUGGUGGAGCGGUGAAAUGCGUAGAUAUCAGAAGGAACGUCGGCGGCGAAAGCGACUCUCUGGCCUAUUACUGACACUGAGUGUGCGAAAGUUAGGGGAGCAAACGGGAUUAGAUACCCCGGUAGUCCUAACCGUAAACGAUGGGCACUAAGUAGAGGGGUUUUA
rnacentral:rRNA from 1 species